GAUGAACGCUGGCGGCGUGCCUAAUACAUGCAAGUCGAGCGAACGGACGAGAAGCUUGCUUUUCUGAUGUUAGCGGCGGACGGGUGAGUAACACGUGGAUAACCUACCUAUAAGACUGGGAUAACUUCGGGAAACCGGAGCUAAUACCGGAUAAUAUUUUGAACCGCAUGGUUCAAAAGUGAAAGACGGUCUUGCUGUCACUUAUAGAUGGAUCCGCGCUGCAUUAGCUAGUUGGUAAGGUAACGGCUUACCAAGGCAACGAUGCAUAGCCGACCUGAGAGGGUGAUCGGCCACACUGGAACUGAGACACGGUCCAGACUCCUACGGGAGGCAGCAGUAGGGAAUCUUCCGCAAUGGGCGAAAGCCUGACGGAGCAACGCCGCGUGAGUGAUGAAGGUCUUCGGAUCGUAAAACUCUGUUAUUAGGGAAGAACAUAUGUGUAAGUAACUGUGCACAUCUUGACAGUACCUAAUCAGAAAGCCACGACUAACUACGUG
rnacentral:rRNA from 1 species